rnacentral:tRNA from 1 species
GAAAAUAUAGUUUAGUAAGGUAGAACAGUGGCGGGAUCCCCAUCCGUACACGGGGGUUCGAAUUCAUCUUCCGAUA